GCAGGGAGACGUUUUCUGACGGCUGGAGAAAGGAAAUCACUUCAGCUGUUUGAUCAGGUCAUCAACAACAUGUACAUCUAUCUUCCAUGUCAACAACAGAGACACAGAACAACAACCAGGUUAAAGAAGCAAGAAAA